AGUCUGCCAGAUUGGCAAUUUGAAACGCACUGUCUGUGACGGCUGCUGAGGCUGCUGCGGGGGAGUGAAGGGCUGUCAUGACGAUGACCCCUGGAGGAAACUCUGAUGCCUUUAUCUAAAACCAUCACUAGCCUUACAGACAUCUGGAUUCCUCUCAACCACCGGAAGGUUGUUUUUGCCUCACCGAAGAAGUAUUCCUCAGAAGCAAAUGGAGACCAUCACAGAAAACUACAACAGGACACAGUGUAGAAAUCAAUGGCUCAUUGGGAACCCAGACACCAUGGAUAUACCUACAUCAGAGCCCCUGUAUCUGUGGCUCAGAAAACGUCAAGGAAGAGAGGGAAGAAUAAUUAUAAGUACCAGAAUAGCGAGAAGUCUGCUGUGAAACAGUCUGUCUUAGAAAUGGCUGCAAAAACACCAACAGAACAAUGGUAAUGUCAGUAGACAUGCUAACAAGAAAGAGGGAAGUCUUGUGGUGUUCCACCACUUGGCAAAGAACUUCAAGCAGCUACUGACUGCAAGAGGGGAAUUAGCCUACCGGGGAUGAAUCACAACACACUUGUUCAGUGCAGAGUGGUCAGCCUUGAAGCCAUAUACACAUAAACAACAGAAAAGACCAAGCAGACUCUAUUUAUAAACUUAUGCAUAGACAUAAAGACAUAUAUGUAACAACUCUAACGAUACUUUAAAAAGAGUCUGUUAACUUGAAACUGUAAGGGGGUGCUGAGAGGGCCUAGGAAAAAAGAGAAAGGGAAAGUCAUAAAAUUCUAUCUUGGUUAAACUUGUAUUUUAAAAUUAACUAUCUAUAUAAUGUAUAUUUAAUAAUUUUUGUUUUUCUGUAUAUUUCUAGCUGUCUUACUUUUUGUGUUAAUGGUGUAUAACUGAGAAAGUAUUCAUUCAGAGAGUAUGUAUAUUUCAGUAUAUGUAUGCACUGUUAAAUAAUUAUCACAAUUAAAUUAACACAGUACCUCAUACCAUUUUUUAUGUUUUAGACUAUGUAUGUAUAUUUCUACAUCCCAGCUUCUUAGUAUGUUAAAGUACACAUUAUUAUAACCUGCAGUUAUAAUACUAUACGAUAAACAUAUAUGACUCAUUCAUUCUAUUUGGAAAAAUACGUUUUUUGUAUUAGAGAUAUAUGUAGAUAGAUAGAUAGAUAGAUAGAUAGAUAGAUAGAUAGAUAGAUAGAUAGAUAGAUAGAUAGAUUGAUAGAUUGAUAGAUAGAUGUAGAUAGACAGACAGACAGACGGAUGGAUGGAUGGAUGGAUGGAUGGAUGGAUGGAUGGAUGGACAGAUAGGCAGGCUUAUUUAUUUAUUCAUUGUGCUCAUUCUAGCUACUCUUCUGGUCAUAGGUCUCUUUAAGAACUUUAUUUAUUCAACUCAAAUAUGGAAAGGCAAUCCUUAAGAGAAAUAAUGGAAAUCAGCCUCUUGAGAUGAGAAAAUUCUUUUUCAAGAUAUUGUCAAAAGAUUGUUUGUGUGUUUACAGAAUAAUUCAAUAGAAUUCAACAGCUUCUGUGAGUGAUUUCACUUUUGUCUAACUUUUAAAUGCACAGUCUACAUACACAGUUUUGUUGUUAGCUUGGUUGGACUGAGAGAUACAUAGAUUAUUAAGGCAUCCCCUGGGGGUCUGGAAGAAGGGGGGCUUCCAGAGAGUCGACUACAUCAUGAUGAGUCUGACCUAAUCAAUGGCUUUUAUUUCAUUUUCAAUCCUGCUUUAUGGUAUAUGAAAGGAUGGGAGAUAUCUUAGGUGGAGUUAACUUCAGUACCUCACUAAGACAGUAUCAUAGCAGUGUCUCAUUAUCUUAUAAUUCAUUCAGAAUUCUUUCGGAAGUAUUCACUUUCCUGUUGAUCUCUCUGUCUGGCUUCUGUUCCUUGUGUACUACUCCAGAUAAUAAUAUUUUGUGAUAUUUUUAUGUUGUAGACAUCUUCUUCCAUUUGUCACCCUCAAUUAAGUUUGUCUUUUCUGCCUUGAGUGAAAAAUCUUCAGUUAUGAUAUAGCUGAAUGUCUCAUCCAAUCUUGAACAUAGCUGGCUGUUUUAUUUCACAGUAUUUUGUAAUAUUUAUCAGGCCUGAUUGUUUUGUACAUAAAGGUCUCAGGUGUUCUUUAUUAAUUCUUGAGUCGUGUCAUUGUUGGCUGUGACAGAUCUCAUAUUUCCCACUUCGUACUCCAGCUGGUUGCUGGGAGACAUAGAAUGAUAUUUAGUUUUUAUAAAUUUAUUUUAUAUACAAAAAACUUUAUUUUUUCAUGUUUGUGGAAUUUGGUAAUAAAAUUCAAGUUAUCAUUGUUUUUGUUAUGUUCCUUUGCUACCUAAGCAUAAAUUGUUUUCCUUUGAUUAAUUAAUAUUUUAAACUUUCCUGAUAGCUGUUCUGAUGUUUGCUUCUCCUUAUGCUUCGGACACAGACUCCUCUUGAUGACAUUAAAAUGCACUUGAUUUCUGUGAAUGGCUAACUUCUUUGUACUUUUGCAACAAGGCUCACCAUCGAAGGCCCUCCCACCAUCCUUUUCCUUAUAUCCAUCCAACUGGGGAAUCAAAUCUAUACCUGCUUUCAGGUAUAAGCUAAUUAAAUUUGUCUCUUUUUCCACUUCACAGAAAAACUUUACAAAAAUGAAAGGCGAUGGUAAUGUUUGCCAUGGAACUUGGAAGGAUUCUCUGAAGCCUUUACUUGAUGGGGGAUGGGUCUGGCUGAGAUUCAAUUUGAUAACCAUUUCACAAUCACACUUUUCUCCCCUCUGCACUCAUCCAACCCUGCAGAGUCUGCUUUUCCUGCAUGUUUUAAAAUAUUGCUUAUAGCUGUUAAUUUUUCUGUAUUAGCUUGUUAAACUAUGACAUCUUUCUUUCUCUUUUCUACAUUUUACUUCUAACUUCCCUUAUUUCUUUGCUCAAAUUUUCCAGAUAUUUUACAUUUCUUUUUGGUUUGUUGUUUUGGAAACCCAAAUUUGUUUUCAGUCCAUGUUUUCUAAUUUUCACUUCUUCCUUGUGGUUUAGGUUUACGUUGUAUCUUUGCCCUCUCUCAAGCUAAUGUGCAAAUCUCACCUCUCAGGUGCUCACACUGUCCUUGUAAGUGUAUAGAAGCCAUCAGUAUUUCUCAAACUAUCCCUGUCUUUACCCAAUGAAUUUGAUAAGUUGAAUUUCGAGGUCAUUUAUGUCUAUGUAACUACCUUAUAAUACUGUAUAUUUAUUAGCAUCUACAGAAAAGAUCCAAGCUACCAUCUGAUAGUCUACUUUUAAAUUUAUGUAGUCAUGGCAGCCACUUUAACCUGUAUAAUACAGUGCUACUGGACAUCCCUGAGAACCUGUGUAGCUAAGUAUGUGAUUAAUUUCUGUGAAUGUUCUGUUUGCUUGAAAAUAAUGCAUUUUUCUCUUCUUUGGUUCUAUUUUCUCUGUCUGAGUUUAGUCUCUUCCGCACCCAUAAGCCAUAAAUUUGCUUCAGAUGGAGCAACUAAGGUAUGUAAGACUUAUUGAUCACAAAAUGAGAACAGAGAAAAGAGAUAUGGCUUAGCUUGUGAACUGGCUACAGAGGUGGGACAUUCAGAAAGGUUUUCUCUAUAGGAGCUGGUCAAUGAUUGGCUGGCAUGAAGCUUGCAUGAGCUGCCAAAAGAGAAGGGAGCACCCAACCCUCUUUUCAGACUCCCUGAUAUGCACAAAAGGAAAUAGGGGAGUGGUUCAGAAUAAAGGGUAUCAGAAGCCAAGCACCAAAACUGUCUAGGACUCUGCCUGAAUGCACACUGAUUUUAGAUGUCCAGUUCUGUUAUUUUUCAUCUUCUAAAUAUCGACUUAUUUUGUAUUUGCUAGACCUAUCAGUUUCUCUGCUGUAUAAAAAGUGCCAGGGACAAGGUUUUGUUUAUCCACUCCUGACCAUUUGUACAUACUAAUGUUUUAUAAAAUUUCAAGUUCUUUGUAUUGGAAAUAUAUGUUGUUGGGUACAUAAAUGUCAAGGCACUAAUUGUUUUUGAUUCUGCAUUUUAUCAAUAUUCAGUACUUUUGUUUGCCUUAAGUUUUCUUUUGCCUAAUAAUGGAAUUUGCUCUCCUAUGUGCUUUGAAUGUUUUCUUAGUAUUUAAAAACUUCUCUAUAAUUUUAUGUCUUAUGAUUGUUAUUUUGAUUAUAUUUUACUGAAUAUGGGAAUUUUUUGAUUUGUUAAAUGUUUUUUUAUAGUUACUGGAUAUUAAAUUUAUAUUGUAGCUCC
rnacentral:lncRNA from 1 species